ensembl:lncRNA
UUUAAAGGACCCAUCGUAUGCCCAUUUUACCACAAGUUGAUAUGGUUCCUUGGGGUCUUAAUGAAAUGUCUGUAACAUAUUUUGGUCAAAAUACCACAGGGAUCAUUAUUAAUGGCAUCCUUUUUACCCUGCCAAACACAGCCAUUCUGUCAGCGAGCUGUUUUGAGCUCUUAUGCUAAUGAGCCAGCUAACCCCUCCCCCCGCCCUCCUCCCCCCUCCUCUACGGUUUUGGGCUAAUCAUUCUAACCUUUUAGUUUUUAGCUACUCAUUCUUACCAAGUUUAGUUUUGUAAAAUAUGGCGACUGGAUACGAGAUUGUUCAGACCCUGAACAAGAAGAGGCUCCCAAAACAGUUUGAGAAUUUAGGGUACAACAGGACGUUUCUGAAUGGCGUAAUUGUGCCAAGUGUGAGCAAAUGCCUACAGAGCCUGAGAAUGGAUGCUGCAGGGAGAUGCCACAGGUAACAAGAAGACUACUGCAGCUUCCAAACCAACCAACAUGCAUCAUCCGGGACUUUUAGCUGUGUGAUUGAAUGUGUUCUCACUACAGAAUGCAUUCAACAUCUAUAGAGCAGACUAUGGGCCUUAUGUCUAAGGGGAAUAUAGCAACGUUACAGGUAUUUGGUGUACAGAAGCUUUGUUAGCAGGUCUUGGGGCUUUCUGGGACGGAGAAUCUGGGUGGUCCUGCUCUUCUGCUCCAGAUGGUGCUUUGGAGGAUCUGUCUGACAGGCCACAUGAUGUAGCCUAGGACACUGUUC